AGAGUUUUGAUCCUGGCUCAGGAUGAACGCUGGCGGCGUGCCUAACACAUGCAAGUCGAACGGACUUACACAGAAGCAGGAGAUGCUUGCAUUGACUAACGGAAGUGUAAGUUAGUGGCGGACGGGUGAGUAACGCGUGGGCAACCUGCCCCAUACCGGGGGAUAACACCUGGAAACAGGUGCUAAAACCGCAUAAGCGCACAGCUUCGCAUGAAGGUGUGUGAAAAACUCCGGUGGUAUGGGAUGGGCCCGCGUCUGAUUAGCUGGUUGGCGGGGUAACGGCCCACCAAGGCGACGAUCAGUAGCCGGCCUGAGAGGGUGGACGGCCACAUUGGGACUGAGACACGGCCCAAACUCCUACGGGAGGCAGCAGUGGGGAAUAUUGGACAAUGGGGGAAACCCUGAUCCAGCGACGCCGCGUGAGUGAAGAAGUAUUUCGGUACGUAAAGCUCCAUCAGCAGGAAAGAAAAUGACGGUACCUGACUAAGAAGCCCCGGCUAACUACGUG
rnacentral:rRNA from 1 species